AUUGAACGCUGGCGGCAGGCCUAACACAUGCAAGUCGAGCGGAUGAAGGGAGCUUGCUCCUGGAUUCAGCGGCGGACGGGUGAGUAAAGCCUAGGAAUCUGCCUGGUAGUGGGGGAUAACGUCCGGAAACGGGCGCUAAUACCGCAUACGUCCUGCGGGAGAAAGUGGGGGAUCUUCGGACCUCACGCUAUCAGAUGAGCCUAGGUCGGAUUAGCUAGUUGGUGGGGUAAAGGCCUACCAAGGCGACGAUCCGUAACUGGUCUGAGAGGAUGAUCAGUCACCCUGGAACUGAGACACGGUCCAGACUCCUACGGGAGGCAGCAGUGGGGAAUAUUGGACAAUGGGCGAAAGCAUGAUCCAGCCAUGCCGCGUGUGUGAAGAAGGUCUUCGGAUUGUAAAGCACUUUAAGUUGGGAGGAAGGGCAGUAAGUUAAUACCUUGCUGUUUUGACGUUACCAACAGAAUAAGCACCGGCUAACUUCGUG
rnacentral:rRNA from 1 species